GUUUCUGUGGUUGAAUGACAACGGGGGUUUUUCAGAUCUCAGGUCUUGGUGGUGUAGGCCAAGCAGAAAUA
rnacentral:tRNA from 1 species